rnacentral:rRNA from 1 species
UACGGGGGGAGCAAGCGUUGUUCGGAUUUACUGGGCGUAAAGGGCGCGUAGGCGGUCAGCACAAGUCAGUUGUGAAAUCUCCGGGCUUAACUCGGAAAGGUCAACUGAUACUGUGCGACUAGAGUGCAGAAGGGGCAACUGGAAUUCUCGGUGUAGCGGUGAAAUGCGUAGAGUAUCGGGAGGAACACCAGAGGCGAAGGCGGCGACCUGGACAAGGACGUGACACUCAACUACGAAAGCGUGGGGAGCAAACAGG